rnacentral:tRNA from 1 species
GGGGUUUUUAGUGCUCGAAAUUGGUACAAGGCCGAAUCGAAUCAAUGAGUUUCAUGCGGCGGUACGCAUCGUUCGCAACGAUGAGGUCGUCGGUUCGAUCCCGACUAGCUCCACCA